CACAUAGUUCUGCUGCCCGCUGCACUGAAACAGUUAAACCAGUUUGCUGUUAAGCAAAGCUUUUGGGCCACAUCAGAAGGCAAAUAGUCAUUACAUGAGGGAGCUGUGGGAGAGGCAAACAUUGGGAUGGGCUGUACCCUGUCUGGCUGCACAAAGGCACACUCCUCCUUAGCAUGCUAUAAACCAGCACUGAGUAAUACCAGUUCCAACAAGCCUUUCUCUUCUCCCCCCUGAGGGGAUCUCUCUGUAUUACCUACCCCAGACAAUGUGACCCGCCCAUCCAAAGCCCCUUCUCACUAACCCCCUCCCCAGUUUCACAGCACACAGGGGAAUGUGGUUACUCACGCAACAUCUGUAGAGGUUGAAGUGUACAUUUGUCUGGGCACUGCAUAAAGGAGCUGGCAGACAUUACCAACGGAGAUAAUGUGAUCUAGAGGACCAGUGGUUUCUUUACCCCUGAGCAUUUGCAUAAUUGGUUUCCCUUAGGAUAAGAAGCAGUUGGCAGCCUAAACAUGAAUUGCAGUGAUACUUCUCGCCUCAGGAGUCUUUUGACUCGGCUUCUCCAAGAACUUGGCAAGGCCAACAGCACCAGUGUCCCAGUGGAAGAAGAUGAUAACGAUGAUGCUUACUUGUAUAUUCUGCUCAUCAUGAUCUUCUAUGGCUGCCUGGCAGGGGGCCUCAUCCUGGCUUAUACCAGAUCCAGAAAGCAGGAGUCCAAGAAUGACCCUUACCACCUCUAUAUAGAAAGGGAAUGGAAUAAGAAGAUUCCUAAUAUUGUGGUGUAUGAACAAAGGGGGAGUAUAGAAAGUGAACAAUUACUGUGAAAAGGUUAACUUGCAUCAGAAUUUUAAUCCAAUAAGAGAUGUGAAUUCCGCAAGAGAAGAAGUUCCAUGCAGCAAGUGUAUAAAGAAAGGGAACUUACAUGAGCUUCGAGCUACAAGAAGCACUCUUUUAUGCUCCAGAAAUCAGAAGGCAUAAAUAAAGGACACAAAUGUGUUUGGGAGAGGAUGCUGCCCUUACCUUCUGCAACUGGAGCAAUACCCAUUCUAAGCUGUAGCAUUAUAAUAGGGAAUAUUGGUCUCUCACUGCUCCAGAAAGGACAGGAGGUCUUAAUGUCAGGUAUUAGCUCCCUGCCAGGGUGUAUGUUGAUAAUAGCCUAUCAUGACUCUGCCAGUCAUAUGGAAUAUGGUUAAUUACCAGUGGGUAACAAAAGAGACAUUGUAUAUAGGGUCUGUUGGGGACCUGACUAAAGCAUAUUUGCAUUAUAAAUGUGCAAGCCAUAAUAAAACCGUCUCUGUCUACUGUAAUCAUCAAUUUAUGGGGGGGCCAUGUUAAUAAUGUAUAUAAAACUGUUGUAAUCAAAUUAAGCCACA